rnacentral:rRNA from 1 species
UGGGGAAUAUUGCACAAUGGGGGAAACCCUGAUGCAGCGACGCCGCGUGAGCGAAGAAGUAUCUCGGUACGUAAAGCUCUAUCAGCAGGGAAGAAAAUGACGGUACCUGACUAAGAAGCCCCGGCUAACUACGUGCCAGCAGCCGCGGUAAUACGUAGGGGGCAAGCGUUAUCCGGAUUUACUGGGUGUAAAGGGAGCGUAGACGGCAGCGCAAGUCUGGAGUGAAAUGCCGGGGCCCAACCCCGGAACUGCUUUGGAAACUGUGCAGCUCGAGUGCAGGAGAGGUAAGCGGAAUUCCUAGUGUAGCGGUGAAAUGCGUAGAUAUUAGGAGGAACACCAGUGGCGAAGGCGGCUUACUGGACUGUAACUGACGUUGAGGCUCGAAAGCGUGGGGAGCAAACAGG